rfam:Enterococcus asini ATCC 700915 genomic scaffold acvKe-supercont1.3, whole genome shotgun sequence.
AACCAACAACAACCUUUUUAUUUUUCAUUUACUCCGCUCGAGAGUAAUACUCCUUUUCCACCGGACCUAACCAACCCGGUGGUUUUUUUG